GAUGAACGCUGGCGGCGUGCCUAAUACAUGCAAGUCGAGCGAACAGACGAGGAGCUUGCUCCUCUGACGUUAGCGGCGGACGGGUGAGUAACACGUGGAUAACCUACCUAUAAGACUGGGAUAACUUCGGGAAACCGGAGCUAAUACCGGAUAACAUGUUGAGCCGCAUGGUUCAACAGUGAAAGACGGUCUUGCUGUCACUUAUAGAUGGAUCCGCGCCGCAUUAGCUAGUUGGUAAGGUAACGGCUUACCAAGGCAACGAUGCGUAGCCGACCUGAGAGGGUGAUCGGCCACACUGGAACUGAGACACGGUCCAGACUCCUACGGGAGGCAGCAGUAGGGAAUCUUCCGCAAUGGGCGAAAGCCUGACGGAGCAACGCCGCGUGAGUGAAGAAGGUCUUCGGAUCGUAAAACUCUGUUAUUAGGGAAGAACAAAUGUGUAAGUAACUAUGCACGUCUUGACGGUACCUAAUCAGAAAGCCACGGCCAACUACGU
rnacentral:rRNA from 1 species